GAUUUUCAUUAUGAACUUCAUUUGACAGUCCAUCCUUUGUAACAGUCACGUCCUUGGCUAUAACUUGCACAAGAUCUUUAGCUGGUAUUACUAAGGUCUUGGAAGGUGCCUUAAUCAAAGAGUCUCCAAUGGUUUUCUGCCCCCGUGAAGAAGUAUCCUUUGUCAAGCGUGCCAUUUUUAAUAUAAUUCCAAAAUCUUUUUCGGUAUUGCUUGAGUGGA
rnacentral:misc_RNA from 1 species